rnacentral:rRNA from 1 species
GGAGGGUGCAAGCGUUGUUCGGAAUUACUGGGCGUAAAGAGCGUGUAGGCGGCUGAUCAAGUCGGGUGUGAAAGCCCGGGGCUUACCCCCGGAAGUGCGCUCGAAACUGGUCAGCUAGAGUAUGGGAGAGGGAAGUGGAAUUCCUGGUGUAGCGGUGAAAUGCGUAGAUAUCAGGAGGAACACCGGCGGCGAAGGCGGCUUCCUGGACCAAUACUGACGCUGAGACGCGAAAGCGUGGGGAGCAAACAGGAUUAGAUACCCUGGUAGUCCACGCUGUAAACGAUGGGCACUAGAUGCUGCGGGUAUUGACCCCUGCGGUGUCGUAGUUAACGCGUUAAGUGCCCCGCCUGGGGAGUACGGUCGCAAGAUUG